CAGCAGCCGCGGUAAUACGGAGGGUGCAAGCGUUAAUCGGAAUUACUGGGCGUAAAGCGCACGCAGGCGGUCUGACAAGUCAGAUGUGAAAUCCCCGGGCUUAACCUGGGAACUGCAUUUGAAACUGUCAGGCUGGAGUCUUGUAGAGGGGGGUGGAAUUCCAGGUGUAGCGGUGAAAUGCGUAGAGAUCUGGAGGAAUACCGGUGGCGAAGGCGGCCCCCUGGACAAAGACUGACGCUCAGGUGCGAAAGCGUGGGGAGCAAACAGGAUUAGAUACCCGAGUAGUCCCUGUCUCUUAUAU
rnacentral:rRNA from 1 species